UACAGAGGGGGCCAGCGUUAUUCGGAAUUACUGGGCGUAAAGGGCGCGUAGGCGGCAUGGCAAGUCAGGAGUGAAAGGCCUGGGCUCAACCGAGGAACUGCUUUUGAUACUGCCAAGCUAGAGUGCGGAAGGGGCAACUGGAAUUCCCAGUGUAGCGGUGAAAUGCGUAGAUAUUGGGAAGAACACCUGAGGCGAAGGCGGGUUGCUGGGCCGACACUGACGCUGAGGCGCGAAAGCCAGGGGAGCAAACGGG
rnacentral:rRNA from 1 species